rnacentral:rRNA from 1 species
UACGGAGGAUGCGAGCGUUAUCCGGAUUUAUUGGGUUUAAAGGGUGCGUAGGUGGUUUGUUAAGUCAGUGGUGAAAGUAUGCGGCUCAACCGUAUUAAGCCAUUGAAACUGGCGGACUUGAGUGCAAACGAGGUAGGCGGAAUGUGAUGUGUAGCGGUGAAAUGCUUAGAUAUGUCACAGAACCCCGAUUGCGAAGGCAGCUUACCAGCAUGCGACUGACACUGAGGCACGAAAGCGUGGGUAUC